rnacentral:rRNA from 1 species
AUUGAACGCUGGCGGCAGGCUUAACACAUGCAAGUCGAACGGAGUGGCGGACGGGUGAGUAACGCGUAUCAACCUGCCCUUCAGAGGGGGACAACAGUUGGAAACGACUGCUAAUACCGCAUACUAUCAGAUGAGCCUAGGUCGGAUUAGCUAGUUGGUGGGGUAAAGGCCUACCAAGGCGACGAUCCGUCACUGGUCUGCGAGGAUGAUCAGGCACACUGGAACGGAGACACGGUCCAGACUCCUACGGGAGGCAGCAGUGGGGAAUAUUGGACAAUGGGCGAAAGCCUGAUCCAGCCAUGCCGCGUGUGUGAAGAAGGUCUUCGGAUUGUAAAGCACUUUAAGUUGGGAGGCGUUACCAACAGAAUAAGCACCGGCUAACUUCGUGCCAGCAGCCGCGGUAAUUC